rnacentral:lncRNA from 1 species
CUAUUCCUUUUAAUUACCCUUAGCAGAGUACUUUGAGGAGUCAUAGAUGCAUUCAACAAAUAGCCCAUAGGCUAGCAGCGGGGAGAGACAGGUUAAGUGUCAUUAAAACUGUGAUAAGGCAACACUAGCAGUUUUACAGAGAGCCGAAGACCCGGAGGAGAGACAACUAAUUCAGCCUGGAGGUGAGGCUGGUGAGGGAAGACAACACGGAGGAGACAGAUGCGGGGGCAGGCAAUCUAUCAGCCAAGAGCUGAAGAAUGAAUACGAGUUGUCUCUACCAGAAAAAAUGGGUAGAGCAUAUCUGGAGACUU